rnacentral:rRNA from 1 species
AUCGAACGCUGGCGGCAGGCCUAACACAUGCAAGUCGAACGAGUGGCGGACGGGUGAGUAAUGCCUGGGAAACCGCCCGAUGGAGGGGGAUAACUACUGGAAACGGUAGCCAAUACCGCAUACCAUCAGAUGUGCCCAGCUUGGAUUAGCUUGUUGGUGGGGUAACGGCUCACCAAGGCGACGAUCCCUAGCUGGUCUGAGAGGAUGACCGGCCACACUGGAACUGGGACACGGUCCGAACUCCUCCGGGGGGAGGCGGUGGGGAAUAUUGCACAAGGGGCGCAAGCCUGAUGCAGCCAUGCCGCGGGUAGAAAGAGGGCCUUCGGGUUGUAAAGUACUUUCAGCGGGGAGGCGUUACCCGCAGAAGAAGCACCGGCUAACUCCGUGCCAGCAGCCGCGGUAAUUC